ensembl:lncRNA
CGGAGGGGCAGAGAGGGAAUGGUCAUUCUCUAAGUUUUUCUUUUCCUUCCUGUCCUCGACAACUUCCUUUACCAGGUGUGCGUCUGAAGGUUCUCCACCAUGGGGGCACUUUUCCCCUCUCUCACAAAUCCUUCUCCUAUUUGUUGGAAAGUUACUGCGAGCCUGGCACUGACCAGGGCACGGAGUGGACGCUCAGCCUCUGCCGGCCACACUGGGAGCUGGGGUCCUUGGAAGUCAGGUACCGGGGAUGGAACUCGGGUCCCUGUGCUUGCGCAACAGGCAGCAAAACCACUGAGCUAAAUCCCCAGCCCCAUGAAAUAAUUACAUUCAUCGCCUUGGGGAGCUGGUACAUGCACAUAGCACAUCUGAAUUCUUUUUACAGGCCCCUUCUUCCAC